rnacentral:lncRNA from 1 species
GCCUACAAGACAUAGAACAAUAAGUGUAAGAAACAUGUUCAUUUCUUAUUUUCUUUGUUAAGUAUCAAAUUACUAAGCAGAAAGCAUAUUAUUAGACAGACAAAAAUCGAAAUCCAUGAACCAAGUAAAAUUUAGACUAAAUAUGGUUCGGUAGAAGAUAUAAUAUGAACCAUAUGAACAGGUCAUAUCAACUAAAUACAGUAAAUACACUGAGAGCCAGUAAAUGCAAUUUAUCUAAAUUAAAAGUUCAAUUAUUAAAUAGCAUGAAAACAUUUACAAAUUCAAAAAAAUAAAAAAUAAAACAUGAAAACAUUUGAUAACACCGAGAAAACAUAUGACCAAAUUUAUGAAUAAUUACACAAUAGUACAAAACAAAAUUUCAAAUUCAACAAGGCAAUAAAAGAACCCAGAGAAGUAACAAUUAUGGGAAUGCAAUCAAUAAAAACUGAGUUCAAUCCUAUGAAUAGUGAAACCAGACAAAACUAUAUACUCUGUCCUAGAUUGUAACUUCUUCAUCGGUUCCACAGAUAGGGACUGACAACUAAUCUCCUGGCGAUUAGAGUACAGAAAAAAAUAACAGAGAAUAUUGCAUGGAUUACGAGAGAGAGAGAGAGAGAGAGAGAGAGAGAGAGAGAGAGAGAGAGAGAGAGAGAGAGAGAGAGAGAGAGAG